UGUUGGAUGAGGAACGUAACUGGAGC
rnacentral:piRNA from 1 species